rnacentral:rRNA from 1 species
CCUACGGGAGGCAGCAGUGGGGAAUAUUGCACAAUGGGGGAAACCCUGAUGCAGCGACGCCGCGUGAGUGAAGAAGUAUUUCGGUAUGUAAAGCUCUAUCAGCAGGGAAGAAAAUGACGGUACCUGACUAAGAAGCCCCGGCUAACUACGUGCCAGCAGCCGCGGUAAUACGUAGGGGGCAAGCGUUAUCCGGAUUUACUGGGUGUAAAGGGAGCGUAGACGGUAAAGCAAGUCUGAAGUGAAAGCCCGGGGCUCAACCCCGGGACUGCUUUGGAAACUGUUUAACUAGAGUGCUGGAGAGGUAAGCGGAAUUCCUAGUGUAGCGGUGAAAUGCGUAGAUAUUAGGAGGAACACCAGUGGCGAAGGCGGCUUACUGGACAGUAACUGACGUUGAGGCUCGAAAGCGUGGGGAGCAAACAGGAUUAGAUACCCCAGUAGU